GCGGUCGUGGCGGAAUUGGUAGACGCACUACCUUGAGGUGGUAACGGGGAAACUCGUGGAGGUUCGAGUCCUCUCGACCGCACCA
rnacentral:tRNA from 3 species